UACGUAGGUGGCAAGCGUUAUCCGGAUUUAUUGGGUUUAAAGGGUGCGUAGGCUGUGAGGUAAGUCAGCGGUGAAAUGCCCCCGCUCAACGGGGUGAAGUGCCAUUGAUACUGCCUUGCUGGAAUGCGGAUGCCGUGGGAGGAAUGUGUGGUGUAGCGGUGAAAUGCAUAGAUAUCACACAGAACACCGAUUGCGAAGGCAUCUCACGAAUCCGCGAUUGACGCUGAUGCACGAAAGCGUGGGUAUCAAACAGG
rnacentral:rRNA from 2 species